ACCGGCAGCUCAAGUGGUGGCCAUUUUUAUUGGGCCUAAAGCGUUCGUAGCUGGCUUGAUAAGUCUCUGGGGAAAUCCCGCAGCUUAACUGGGAGGCUUGCUGGAGAUACUAUUAGGCUUGAGGUCGGGAGAGGUUAGGGGUACUCCCAGGGUAGGAGUGAAAUCCUAUAAUCCUGGGGGGACCACCUGUGGCGAAGGCGUCUCACCAGGACGACUCUGACAGUGAGUAACGAAAGCUGGGGGAGCAAACCG
rnacentral:rRNA from 1 species